UGCUUGGAGCAUGGUUGAGUCAGCUCCCUUGCUGCAGCCUACGGCUCUCCCCUUGCCCCCUUGUCGAAGCCAUCGGAGAGGACAAGGCCGCCAACCCAUGAUGAUACACUCACAGCUACCCAGGCCUCGCUGGUCCUCCCUUGCAUGCCCUCAUAUGCCAGGGGUUAUGGCAAUCAGGACAUGGUGGGAGCAGUUGGUGGUAAGGCAGAGUCAGGCGUACUGCCAGCAGUGGCACUACUCAAGAUCAAUGCCAUGAGGAGUAUCACUCAAGUCCCAGGAUUUGAUGACAUUGUUUCUGGCUAUUAGGUUGUACAACAUCUUUGUUAUGGAUUGUGACCCCCACACAAUACUGGAUUCAGAGAAGGCGGAGAUCCGUGGAUGCCAGUGAGGGAGGCAGCUUGGCUCGGACUGGCCAUGGCGCUGGCGUUGAUGACUCCCUGCUAUCCUCCUUUGUCUCCCAUCCACAGCUUGGCUCGGACUUGGUGGAACAUGUAUAGAAGAGGCUUUCAUCAUUUGUCAACUGGGUCGCACUUUCCUUGUCAUCUCUUAGUAAUAGAUUUUCUGUAACACUAAAAUCAGAACCUUAGCCUCUGCAAACAGUGCAUGCAGAUUUACAAUAGUAAGGCAUCUUAUCGUGGACAUAUUUUUGACUUGGCUGAUUAGGAAGUAAGUGAAAAAUGAUUUCCUGAAAUCUGCACAUUGCAUCCUAGAAAGUUGUGAAUAAAAUUAUGAUUAUGCAUUAAUAUGCUCAUCUCUGCUUGGAACUUUUGGCAAAUAAAUAUAACGUGACGAUGUUCUCAUAUCAGGUCUCGAGCGGCUGGUGGUGGUGUACAAUGGUGCCCAGCGGCGCGCACAACGGGUGUACGAUAUGUGGCAUCGGCGCCACCUGUGAGCUAUUCUCAUGGAGGACGCCGUCCGGGCGACGCCUGCCCGCGCCCGUCGCUCGACCCUCGCCGCCGGACUCCCACGUGCUCCUCCCAGGCACCAUGGCGUUGGGGACGCACAACCCAGGCACCGCAGACCAUGUGUGAAGGCUGGAUGCGAGACCUCAUGCACUCACUUGAGGGCGAGCUCAGCCGAUGCCUAGACGCCAAGGCUUUAAAAAUUUGUUGAUGUGUGGAUUAUAAAUGUAUGGGGUUUCUAUUGCCAUGCCUGCCACUCUGGUGCAGCUCCGGCACACGCUGGAUGGCCUUGUCCCUAAAGGUGAUUUGGUAAUACGUUGCAUGCUAUUCUGUUUGGUUAGCUCUGACCACGUUGAUUGGUUUUCUGUAAUUAGUCAAGUAGUAUAUUGUCAUCCCUUGUGCAUAUUGAAAAUACAACUGAUUGGUUAGCUGCACAGAUUAACUGAUUCAAUGUUUUUUUUGUUAACAUUGAUGUGUCAUCUGAGGUCCUAUAUCUAUCUGAUGAGUGCUAAAAUGGUGUGGACGUGUGGCUUUUGGAUUUUUUACUGCUCAAGAAUUCAGUCUGACGAUAUUUGGUGGACACAUGCUCUUUAGGUGGAUUGACCCCUACCGUGGCUGAGGUGUACAGACAUAGUGAAUUUUCUGGAGCUCUGCUUGAAUUUGAACACUCAGUUUGCGUCCCAGAUUUCUCUGAACUCCAGUAUAUAAAAAAAAUUAUUUUGUUCUUCUCUUUGGUUGGCAAUUAUAAGAUUUAAAUAGCUCGUAAGCACAUGAGGAUGCUCAAUGUAAACUGGUAUACUUAUCUCUCUCUUGUUGUUAGGUUGAAUUGGUAAAAGCAUUUUGUUCUUUGUAUGGUUAGUAAUAUGGCUGAACACUAAGAGCUGAGCUAAUUUGUAGAGACAGCGUGGAUGUUUUAUUUUCCAUAUAUCCCAUUACUCAUGAUGGUGGAAAUAAAAGUUUACCUACUUAGUUGCCAAAUCUCACUGGAAUUGCUUUUGGAUGUAGUGACAGUGAUAUCUGAACUCAUAUUUUGAGUGAUAUUUUUCAGUGCGAACCUAACUAAUUUAAAUUUUCUCAUUGUCCGUGAUGUAUGUGACGGUGAUCCUUGCAUCUUCUUUGCCAUGAAAUCAUGUUUAUUUACUCUAGCGGUGAGUCCAUGUUUGGAAGAAAUUAAUAAUUUCAGUACAUGUUGGAGCUUUUGGGUCGUUCCAGUGUGAAAUAGUUGUAGUUUUGCACCAUCUAUCCAAUUGGGCUUAUGCAGAUAGCUUAAAUUCAUGGAUAUGAGCAUAUGUAUAUAUCUUGUGAGAGACUUAAGAGAAACCAAAUAUGAUCACCAAUUUAGGAACCAAAUAUACGGGAGAGUCUCAGAUUCUAAGAAGGGUUCUAGAGUUUCAUAUUGCUGUGUCCUGGCUCCACUUGCCCCCAUGCCAAAACCAUCGGUGUGGCAUGGGGGCAUCGACCUCUCAGAAGGCAGGUUCUACGGCCAUUGGUAGAGCUAAGGCGGACGAAGUGGUGUUCUGGCUGGUGAGUUAUCAUCAUCUCGUUUCAUUGUUCGGUACUCAUCAAAUCUGAGACUAUGGAAUAUGUAUGACACGGAUUACCGAUAUUCAUUGUUGAAGGGUUGCUGAUGCUUGGGAUGGGGUAAAUCUUAAGCUUACUCUCUGCAGAACUGUGUCUCAGUGAGUGUUCCAUAUAUGGUUAGACUUGGUCUCUUUGUUGACACAUAGUGGGUUAGUGAAAAUAACAAUCCAGUGAUCUAUAUUACCUCUGCUGCACUUUGGACAUUGUGGACUGUGUGUAAUGGAAUGUGCUUUCAGGUACUAAGAUGGUUGCGUGUCAGGGAGAUGUUAACAAGAAUCGAGAUGUUGAUUGGAAGCUGGAAGGUGCUUUGGUUGGACAAACAUUCCAGUUUGCUGGAUCCUGGAGGAGUACCUGAUGAAGCUGAACCCCUUGAAAGGGGAACUUCUUUGAAUUGGAUGGACAUGAAUGAACUGAUCCUGGGGUGUAUGUCUACUGAAUCUACAUCAUCUGUCCCCCUUCUGAAGAAAUGGCGUCAGGAGCUGGCCUGUGAAGCUUUAUUGGGAUGAUUGGCAAUACCUUGUGACUCUGUAGGCUUAUUCCUGUAGCUACCUGAAAGUGUUGUUGCCUCUCGCCUGUUGCCAUUUUCUGUUUUCGGCUUUGUUACUGUAACCUGAUGAUGUGACUGCUUUGCAUAUAA